CCUACGGGGGGCAGCAGUAGGGAAUUUUCGGCAAUGGGCGAAAGCCUGACCGAGCAACGCCGCGUGAACGAAGAAGGUCUUCGGAUUGUAAAGUUCUGUUAUAGAGGAAGAAUGGUGUACGUGGGAAAUGGCGUACAAAUGACGGUACUCUGUGAGGAAGCCACGGCUAACUACGGGCCAGCAGCCGCGGUAAUGAGUAGUUGGCGAGCGUUAUCCGGAAUCAUUGGGCGUAGAGAGGGAGCUGGCGGCCGGUAGGGUCUAUGGUUAAAAGGCAAUGGCUUAACCAUUGUAAGGCAAAGAAACCGGCAGGCUAGAGUUCUAAAGAGGAGCGUGGAAUGCCAUGUGUAGCGGUGAAAUGCGUAGAUAUAUGGAGGAACACCAGUGGCGAAGGCGACGAUCUGGGAAGAAACAGACGCUGAGUCCCGAAAGCGUGGGGAGCAAAUAGGAUUAGAUACCCUAGUAGUC
rnacentral:rRNA from 1 species